rnacentral:rRNA from 1 species
GACGAACGCUGGCGGCGUGCCUAAUACAUGCAAGUCGAACGAACUCUGGUAUUGAUUGGUGCUUGCAUCAUGAUUUACAUUUGAGUGAGUGGCGGACUGGUGAGUAACACGUGGGAAACCUGCCCAGAAGCGGGGGAUAACACCUGGAAACAGAUGCUAAUACCGCAUAACAACUUGGACCACAUGGUCCGAGUUUGAAAGAUGGCUUCGGCUAUCACUUUUGGAUGGUCCCGCGGCGUAUUAGCUAGAUGGUGAGGUAACGGCUCACCAUGGCAAUGAUACGUAGCCGACCUGAGAGGGUAAUCGGCCACAUUGGGACUGAGACACGGCCCAAACUCCUACGGGAGGCAGCAGUAGGGAAUCUUCCACAAUGGACGAAAGUCUGAUGGAGCAACGCCGCGUGAGUGAAGAAGGGUUUCGGCUCGUAAAACUCUGUUGUUAAAGAAGAACAUAUCUGAGAGUAACUGUUCAGGUAUUGACGGUAUUUAACCAGAAAGCCACGGCUAACUACGUGCCAGCAGCCGCGGUAAUACGUAGGUGGCAAGCGUUGUCCGGAUUUAUUGGGCGUAAAGCGAGCGCAGGCGGUUUUUUAAGUCUGAUGUGAAAGCCUUCGGCUCAACCGAAGAAGUGCAUCGGAAACUGGGAAACUUGAGUGCAGAAGAGGACAGUGGAACUCCAUGUGUAGCGGUGAAAUGCGUAGAUAUAUGGAAGAACACCAGUGGCGAAGGUGGCUGUCUGGUCUGUAACUGACGCUGAGGCUCGAAAGUAUGGGUAGCAAACAGGAUUAGAUACCCUGGUAGUCCAUACCGUAAACGAUGAAUGCUAAGUGUUGGAGGGUUUCCGCCCUUCAGUGCUGCAGCUAACGCAUUAAGCAUUCCGCCUGGGGAGUACGGCCGCAAGGCUGAAACUCAAAGGAAUUGACGGGGGCCCGCACAAGCGGUGGAGCAUGUGGUUUAAUUCGAAGCUACGCGAAGAACCUUACCAGGUCUUGACAUACUAUGCAAAUCUAAGAGAUUAGACGUUCCCUUCGGGGACAUGGAUACAGGUGGUGCAUGGUUGUCGUCAGCUCGUGUCGUGAGAUGUUGGGUUAAGUCCCGCAACGAGCGCAACCCUUAUUAUCAGUUGCCAGCAUUAAGUUGGGCACUCUGGUGAGACUGCCGGUGACAAACCGGAGGAAGGUGGGGAUGACGUCAAAUCAUCAUGCCCCUUAUGACCUGGGCUACACACGUGCUACAAUGGAUGGUACAACGAGUUGCGAACUCGCGAGAGUAAGCUAAUCUCUUAAAGCCAUUCUCAGUUCGGAUUGUAGGCUGCAACUCGCCUACAUGAAGUCGGAAUCGCUAGUAAUCGCGGAUCAGCAUGCCGCGGUGAAUACGUUCCCGGGCCUUGUACACACCGCCCGUCACACCAUGAGAGUUUGUAACACCCAAAGUCGGUGGGGUAACCUUUUAGGAACCAGCCGCCUAAGGUGGGACAGAUGAUUAGGGUG